rnacentral:lncRNA from 1 species
CUUGGCUUGAAGUUGAUCAGUCUUUGCAGGACUGUGUGUUUUCAGCCACUUUCUGCUAGCUUGGAGCAAAUGCGUGGACAUUCUCCUUUGGAGACAGGCUAUGGAUGGAGUCAAAGAACUUAAGAUGAAGGUAUAUCUUCUAAAUAUUGUAUUUUAAUGACUAUUUAACUUUUCCAGUGAAUCAUUUUUCUGUUGGGUCUUUGUUGCUGCAAAUGAUUUAUCAUUGGGUCUUUGUUGCUGAA